UGGGGAAUAUUGGACAAUGGGGGAAACCCUGAUCCAGCCAUGCCGCGUGAGUGAUGAAGGCCUUCGGGUUGUAAAGCUCUUUUGUCAGGGAAGAUGAUGACGGUACCUGAAGAAUAAGCCCCGGCUAACUUCGUGCCAGCAGCCGCGGUAAUACGAAGGGGGCUAGCGUUGUUCGGAAUUACUGGGCGUAAAGGGCGCGUAGGCGGUUUAGUAAGUCAGGAGUGAAAUCCCUGGGCUCAACCCAGGAAUUGCUUUUGAGACUAUUAGACUUGAGUACAGGAGAGGUGAGUGGAAUUCCCAGUGUAGAGGUAAAAUUCGUAGAUAUUGGGAGGAACACCAGUGGCGAAGGCGGCUCACUGGCCUGUAACUGACGCUGAGGCGCGAAAGCGUGGGGAGCAAACAGGAUUAGAUACCCCUGUAGUCC
rnacentral:rRNA from 1 species